rnacentral:lncRNA from 1 species
UGGCCUCUCACAUUUAGGAUAUUAGCAGGUUUAGCUGGCAAAUGACCUGAUGACAAGAUUAUUACUGACUUAAAAUCCAUAACUUUUUCUCUUUUCUCUCCACCACACCCAAUUAUUUGAUCCUGGAUUAUACACUGUUGAAGGAGUGGGAAUGGAAUUCAGCUGACGUUGACUCUACUCCCAGUUCUGCCCUCAUUAACCAGCUGUUUGACCUAAGACAAGCCUUUUGCCCUUUCUGGACUUAGGUUUCCUCAUCUGAAAAGCAAAAGACCCAGCCUCUAGAAUGCCUUGUGGACUAGCUGUGAAGGAACCUGCUAUCCCAGAGCCUGGAGAGGUUAUCUGCUGCCAGCUACUGUUGACUCUUGGAACUUCUGUUCAUAAAAGGCUGAUUCUCCAACACUGUCAGCUCUAGAAAUCCUCAGUGUUUGCAUUCUGUACUGUUCCUCCAGUGCAGACAAACUUUGACUGCGAUUUAGGUUCAAACCCCCAGAAGAGGUUCAGGAAGAACCUCCUCCCUUAUAAAGACUAAUCCAAAAAAUCUAGCCUUCCCAGGGUAGCUAGGUCAUAUUUCCUGUGUGUUUACUCAGUCACCUGAUGUUUGUUUAUUUUCUAUUCAAUCAUCUGGGGCUAAUAUUUCUUUAUGAUUCUCAAGUUUCAGCAACUGAGCAUGUGUGCCUCUGUGAAAGCCUUCUCUGUGGGUAUUUCUCUGUUCUCCUUUUGGAGAAGUUUCUAGGAGGAAAUGUGAUAUAAUUGCAUGCAGUACAACUGAACAAAAGGGUAGGAAGAUAUCCAGGAGUAUCCUUCACAGGUUCCUGGGCCAGAGACAGUAGCCCCUGUUGACAUGGACUGAGAGCUGACUCUGACCUUGGCAAAUUCUCUCUAUCCCUAACUUUCUGUGAAAGUAUGUGGUAUCCGCCUACACCCUUUCCUCUUGCCUGCAGUGGGUAUAAAACACCUUUCAAUAGAUACUAGAUUGAAAAGUCACUAAAAGCUAACAUUCCUUAUGCAGUACUCUACUGC